AUGGCGGUCCGAAACACAUACUUUUCAUUUUCGAACGGGUGAAUGUACAAUCACGUUGGAAGACGUAUAUAUUUUACUCGGCUUACCUUUUGGAGGACCAGUUGUUACGGCUCCUCCAA
rfam:Medicago truncatula strain A17 chromosome 6, whole genome shotgun sequence.